rnacentral:rRNA from 1 species
CCCUUAGAUGUCCGGGGCCGCACGCGCGCUACACUGAAGGAAUCAGCGUGGCUUUCUCCCUGACCCGAAAGGGUUGGGAAACCCGUUGAAUCUCCUUCGUGAUAGGGAUUGGGGCUUGAAAUUGUUCCCCAUGAACGAGGAAUUCCCAGUAAGCGCGAGUCAUAAGCUCGCGUUGAUUACGUCCCUGCCCUUUGUACACACCGCCCGUCGCUACUACCGAUUGAACGGUUUAGUGAGGGCCUCGGAUUGGUCUCGGCCCGCUCUUUACCGUGCGGCGCCGUUGGUCGAGAAGACGCUCGAACUUGAUCGUUUAGAGGAAGUAAAAGUCGUAACA